AGGCCUCCUCUGGGACCAGUUUUGUUACCUGCAGGCUGAACAUCCCGGCUUUCUCUACGGAUAAGGGCACUGCUCCUCCUGCUCUGCACAGCUCCAUGAAGUGUCAGGUAGAUGUGGCAGGUGAGGACCAGAGAGUUCCAGGACUUUGCACAAGGUCACACAGCAAGCAGGUGAACAUAUCUGGACUACAGUCUGACUCAAGACUUUUUCCGAGACCCAACAGAUCACUCUGGGGGCUGCCUGGAGCCACAGAAGAAGCAGCUGCCUCUGUCAUUGCCCCAGGUGCUGACUCCAUCUCAGCCAUGGAAAGUCCCUUCCCCAGAUAGACUCUGGUUUUCCACUGGUUACUCCUGCUGCUAAAAUAAAACCAGGCUGAUCCCUCUACCGCCCAGUGCUAACAGCUGGGGCCGCCUCCAGCCUUCGUCAGGGGUGUGAAGAGGCCAUUUCUUAUGGGCCGUUUUGCUCCUCUGGCUGCCACGUCUCUGCCCUCCAAGUGAACUGCUCUCAUUACCCUGUGCCUCUGCCAAGAUCCUCCUCACGGGCUGGCUGUCUCCCGUUACCCUCCUGUUGAACUCAGAGUUGCCUUCCCCUCAUGUAAAGAGAGAAGUCCACGAGCACAGAAUUUGCACAGGCCUGUGCUAAGCGUGGACGAGGGACCACUAUGAAUAACUCUGGCCACCCCCUCCACCCUGAGUUCCUAUCAACCCAACCGACACAGUCAAACGCCUUUCUUGUAUCUUCCUACCACUGCACAAAUCAGCACAAUAGAAAGAGCUAACAACAAAUACAUUUAGAAUUGAUAUUUAUAGGAGCAGGCUUGGUCUGGGUUUUCAGCCCUGCUGCAGAGAACAAAACUGAACCACAAUAUGUGAGCUUAUAGCACUCGGCAGACACUGUCAGAAAACAAUGCUGAAGAAUACAGCAGCAUAAUCCAUUCAUUUCUACAGGGCCCCCUCUCCAUUUCCAUGGACAUAUUUCCCAGACAAGCUACCGAACAGGUUAAGUGUCCUACCAUUUAUUCACUCAGGCCACAGGGGUGCUUGAACAAACUUUGUUGUUCACAUCCUGCCCCCACCUUUUUUGGAUA
ensembl:lncRNA